AGAUUUUCCUUCCAAGACAACUCAGAACAAAAAAGGAAAACACUUGGAAAAUAAUCACAGAUCACCGUUAAGCAUUUUCUCAAACUGGAAGAGAGAGAGACUUUUAGAGAGAGAAAGUACUUAUUUUGUGGUGGUAAUGGCGGAAGGAGAGAGCGUGAAGCUGUUCGUAGGCCAAGUACCAAAGCAGAUGACGGAGGUGCAGCUCCUCGCAGUGUUCAGAGAGUUCGCGCUCGUCGACGAGGUCAAAAUAAUCAGAGACAAGGAGACGCGCGCGUCGAGAGGAUGUUGUUUCGUCAUAUGUCCGUCGAGAGAGGAAGCAGACAAGGCUGUAAACGCGUGCCAUGAGAAGAUUACGCUGCCUGGGGCAUCUAGGCUUUUGCAAAUGAAGUAUGCUGAUGGAGAAUUGGAAAGACUAGAGCAUAAAUUGUUUGUUGGCAUGCUUCCAAAAACUGUUUCUGAUGCUGAGGUGUCAGCUCUAUUUUCGGAAUAUGGAACAAUAAAAGACUUGCAAAUUCUCAGGGGGUCUGGUCAAACUAGCAAAGGUUGUGCUUUUAUGAAAUUUGAGACAAAAGAACAAGCACUUGCAGCAAUUGAGGCACUAAAUGGAAAGCAUAAGAUGGAGGGUUCUUCUAUUCCUUUGGUGGUCAAGUGGGCUGAUACAGAGAAGGAAAGACAGACUCGGAAGGUUCGAAAAGCUCUCUUGCAAGCAUCCACUUUGCAAAUUGCUUCCGCACAACAAUCCGUAUAUGGCGCUCUACCAAUGAGUUAUGUGCCUGCAUAUAAUGGCUACGGUUAUCAGACACCAGGUCCUUACGGAUUUGUGCGCUAUCGCCUACCUGAAUUGCAGAAUCGACCAAACUUCCCUAGUUUGAUGCCAUCUACAAACCACGGACAUGCUAUACGGGGAGCCAUACCUGAUCCUUCAUCUGGAACUGUGCCAAGUAAUUAUGCAGCGCCACCUGCAAACUACAUAGGUUCUGCUUACCCAGCCACGCCAGGGGUUCAUUAUCCCCGGACAUAUCCUGGAGGAAUCAUGAGUAAUCAGCAAUUUGGAGCUUCUUCCCCUUUAUUAUCAUCUAAUUCUAGUAGCCAAGUUGUAGCUGCUUCAAGUGUUAGAGCGAGCUCUGAGGUUCACAUUGAAGGUCCUCGCGGAGCAAAUCUAUUUAUCUUCCACAUUCCCCAACAAUAUGGUGAUGUACAGCUUGCAGAUCUAUUUCAGCGUUUUGGUAGGGUAUUGAGUGCAAAGGUGUUUGUUGACAAAGCAACUAAUGUCAGCAAGUGUUUUGGAUUUGUUAGUUAUGAUUCACCAGCAGCAGCACAAAAUGCAAUUAAUGCAAUGAAUGGCUUCCAGUUAGGUGGUAAAAAAUUGAAGGUUCAACUUAAAAGAGAGAGUAACAAAAAAAACCUGAACUUUGAGGUAAGCGAUGAAGACAGCUAAAUUCAUGAAGCGUUAAUGUUGACAUGAUUCAAGAUCUCGAAUGUGGAAAAUGCUGUGAUUGAGCAAAUGGGGUGGAUACAACAGUUGUGCCCAAUCUUAUCCUCAUUCGGCAUGGAGCUUACAAAGUGCCCUGCAAUCACCUGGAGCUGUUGUUUGCUUUGAAUAUUUCAUACAAGUCUUUCUAUGAGCGUGUUAUACGUCUAUCUGGGUCAGCAUUAUUCUGUUCUCAAAUAUAUCUUCUGAUGUUUCUCACGAAUGUGGUCCAGUUUUAAAGUUCAGUUGAAUGGCAAUCAUUCUCUAUAGAAAUCACUGAUUCUUCCUGUUUAUGAUCCAUUACGAGCAAAGGUAAUCUUACUUCGAUUGAAAACCUAUUUUUUGUGGGUUUUUUUUCUUUUUCUUUCAGGUUUCCUGCGUAUAUGAUUGGUCUGCUUGAGUAGACUUCAGUUUUCUGUUAUGACCGAUUCCAGGUUACUACAUUUCCUCAAUUAUUUCAGAAACCGAUAUUUUUGUUGGUUAGAGACAUUUACCAUGUGAGUGAGGGACAUGUUUGUUUUGGCGAGAGUGAACUUGAAACUAUAUGCAUGAUGCAUCUUCACUUUCAACUAGAGUAAGAAUAUGGAUUGACCUUGCACGUGAUGUUGAGAUUUAGAUAUUAAUAUCUGGUUUAUGCCUUUAGGCUUCUGGGAAAGAGGAACUUUGGCCGCGCUAGCACACUUUAAGCCAUAUCAGUUGAAAUGGGGGACUCCGGCAUAUAUUUUAUUGAGAUUUUGAUGAUGAAAACAAGAUUAGAGCAACAAGCAUUCGAGGUCUAAGAAGAAAGCAGUGUGACGACAAAGAAUAGCUUAAAGGAGGGAACUACCGUUGAUGAUGCGAACUCGAUUUAGGGGUGGAGGCUGUGGCAGUUCUAUACGGUGUGAUUUUCCUAUAUUGAAUUGUAGUCUAUUUUUUAUUCCUAUAUGACCUGUGGUUUUAUUGACAAUAUCAUAAAUAUUACCUUUUGAAAUAUAGGAAUCUGACUUUUUUUU